GUGAUCGCUGUUUCUGUGUGAAGCCGGGAGUAAUGCAGCACACGGAGCUUCAAAUAAAAUGGGUCCUUUAUUGUUUUUUUUUAAUGAAAAAAGAACACUUUUCUCUCUUUCUGGGUUGCAAAGAAACAAACGUAAAUGACCCGUAUUCUGUC